GACCGUAUAGCUCAAGUGGUAGAGCAGUAGACUUUUAAUCUGAUGGCUGCAGGUUCAAGUCCUGCUACGGUUA
rnacentral:tRNA from 1 species